rnacentral:rRNA from 1 species
CACAUGCAAGUCGAGCGGAAAGGCCCUUUUCGGGGGUACUCGAGCGGCGAACGGGUGAGUAACACGUGAGUAAUCUGCCCUUGGCUUUGGGAUAACUACCGGAAACGGUGGCUAAUACCGGAUAUGACCAUGCUCGGCAUCGGGUGUGGUGGAAAGUUUUUUCGGCCAGGGAUGUGCUCGCGGCCUAUCAGCUUGUUGGUGGGGUAAUGGCCUACCAAGGCUUCGACGGGUAGCCGGCCUGAGAGGGUGACCGGCCACACUGGGACUGAGACACGGCCCAGACUCCUACGGGAGGCAGCAGUGGGGAAUAUUGGACAAUGGGCGGAAGCCUGAUCCAGCAACGCCGCGUGAGGGAUGACGGCCUUCGGGUUGUAAACCUCUUUCAGUACCGACGAAGCGCCGAUGAUGGUGGUGACGGUAGGUACAGAAGAAGCACCGGCCAACUACGUG